CUACGAAAACGGAAUAACCAUGCACCAUGUGGGUGUGCGCACCGCCUCCAAGAAACUGCUCAUAUCAGCACCCGCUCGGAUGCUUUAUCUCUGAACCUACCUCAAGUCAGCAGAGGAUGUUCCACUACAGAAAGUAAAUUCGUCGUCCCAAAUCCUCACAAGGAAACUGGACAAAAGAGAGAUCAUUGGUUUCCAAGCUACCCACACCAAGUCGUAAGAAGCUCAAGAGUCGCCUAUCCACCACCAAAGUUUACCAGGCAGA